rnacentral:rRNA from 1 species
CCGUAAAAUAGGUGCCAGCAGCCGCGGUAAUACGUAGGGUGCAAGCGUUGUCCGGAAUUAUUGGGCGUAAAGAGCUCGUAGGCGGUUUGUCGCGUCUGCUGUGAAAUCUGGGGGCUCAACCCCCAGCCUGCAGUGGGUACGGGCAGACUAGAGUGCGGUAGGGGAGAUUGGAAUUCCUGGUGUAGCGGUGGAAUGCGCAGAUAUCAGGAGGAACACCGAUGGCGAAGGCAGAUCUCUGGGCCGUAACUGACGCUGAGGAGCGAAAGCAUGGGGAGCGAACAGGAUUAGAUACCCUGGUAGUCCAUGCCGUAAACGUUGGGAACUAAAAGUGGGGGCCAUUCCACGGUCUCCGUGUCGCAGCUAACGCAUUAAGUUCCCCGCCUGGGGAAUACAGCCCGCAAGGGUAAAAACUCAAAGGAAUUGACGGGGGCACGCACAAACGGCGGGAGCAAUGCGGAUUAAAUCAAUGCAACGCGAAAAACCCUUAACCCAAGGCUUUGACCUAUUCCUAAAAACUUCCAAAGA